rnacentral:rRNA from 1 species
UACAGAGGUCUCAAGCGUUGUUCGGAUUCAUUGGGCGUAAAGGGUGCGUAGGUGGCGCGGUAAGUCGGGUGUGAAAUCUCGGAGCUUAACUCCGAAAUUGCAUUCGAUACUGCCGUGUUUGAGGAUUGGAGAGGAGACUGGAAUUCAUGGUGUAGCAGUGAAAUGCGUAGAGAUCAUGAGGAAGACCAGUGGCGAAGGCGGGUCUCUGGACAGUUCCUGACACUGAGGCACGAAGGCCAGGGGAGCAAACGGG